GCAGUGUCUCUUCUGCUGGAAGAAUAUAAAAUUUUAGAAUGCAAACUCUAGCUGCGCCGUACUCUCCAUGUGCACGUACUGCAUAGAAGUGGUUCCUUCUUAUAUGCAUAUGUCCAUAAGGCUGAAUUGUUUUGAGUAUUAGUUCCUGGUUUGAAGGCUGUUUCUUUCAGCUCUGUCAGAAAAUUUUCAGUACUGAAAUGAAUUCAGUUGUGGCGGAAUGAUGAAUAUCACUGCACAAGAAACAGUCCUGCUCAAACAAUGUCAAGGAUUCUUAUCAAGGUACUGUGUUGAGAUGACUGUCUCGGAUGACUCUGCUGUGUUUGUAGGUUUUGCGAUGCAAUGGAGAAAUAUUCCUGCUUCUGCAGUGUCACAAAAUGUGAAGAAUACCCGCAGAACAUGGCCAUUCCACAAUUCCUAAGGAAUAUUGUGGGGGAGGAACUUCACAUUAGACCUCAAGAUUUCUCAGUUCAAUUUUUCAUCUGAGCAACAGUUAUUUACCAUCACACACAAUUUUUUACCGCAACCAGCACCCACCACAUCCUAAUUUUGGUAUUUAGAAAGGUCAUGACAACGCAUGCAGUGAUAUCUCAACUCUUGGAGUUCAUAAUGCUAACCUGUGGUGUCAACUACCCUGCAGGCUCUUCUAUUUUAAUUCUCAAAUUAAUAAGUUUUCCAACAACUAUUUGUUUAUGGGUUUUUAAUCAUUUAGUUUUAAACUUUUAAAACAAUCAUUCAGACUCUUGCAAGAAAACUAUGUUCUCUGCUUCAGUAUUAUUGCUAUUGGGCCUAUAAAUUAGAUUGGAUCUUA